AACGAACGCUGGCGGCAUGCCUAACACAUGCAAGUCGAACGAGACCUUCGGGUCUAGUGGCGCACGGGUGCGUAACGCGUGGGAAUCUGCCCUUGGGUUCGGAAUAACAGCGAGAAAUUGCUGCUAAUACCGGAUGAUGACGUAAGUCCAAAGAUUUAUCGCCCAUGGAUGAGCCCGCGUAGGAUUAGCUAGUUGGUGAGGUAAAGGCUCACCAAGGCGACGGUCCGUAGCUGGUCUGAGAGGAUGAUCAGCCACACUGGGACUGAGACACGGCCCAGACUCCUACGGGAGGCAGCAGUGGGGAAUAUUGGACAAUGGGCGAAAGCCUGAUCCAGCAAUGCCGCGUGAGUGAUGAAGGCCUUAGGGUUGUAAAGCUCUUUUACCCGGGAUGAUAAUGACAGUACCGGGAGAAUAAGCCCCGGCUAACUCCGUGCCAGCAGCCGCGGUAAU
rnacentral:rRNA from 1 species